AGUGAACGCUGGCGGUAGGCCUAACACAUGCAAGUCGAACGGCAGCACAGUAAGAGCUUGCUCUUACGGGUGGCGAGUGGCGGACGGGUGAGGAAUACAUCGGAAUCUACUUUUUCGUGGGGGAUAACGUAGGGAAACUUACGCUAAUACCGCAUACGACCUACGGGUGAAAGCAGGGGAUCUUCGGACCUUGCGCGUUUGAAUGAGCUGAUGUCGGAUUAGCUAGUUAGCGGGGUAAAGGCCCACCAAGGCGACGAUACGUAGCUGGUCUGAGAGGGUGAUCAGCCACACUGGAACUGAGACACGGUCCAGACUCCUACGGGAGGCAGCAGUGGGGAAUAUUGGACAAUGGGCGCAAGCCUGAUCCAGCCAUACCGCGUGGGUGAAGAAGGCCUUCGGGUUGUAAAGCCCUUUUGUUGGGAAAGAAAAGCAGCAGGUUAAUACCCCGCUGUUCUGACGGUACCCAAAGAAUAAGCACCGGCUAACUUCGUG
rnacentral:rRNA from 1 species